GGUUCCGUAGUAGUGUAGUGGUUAUCACGUUCGCUUUACACGCGAAAGGUCCCCGGUUCGAUCCCGGGCGGAACCA